UCCCUGGUGGCUCAGAGGUUAAAGCGUCUGCCUCCAGUGCAGAAGACCCAGGUUCGAUCCCUGGGUUGGGAA
rnacentral:tRNA from 1 species